rnacentral:rRNA from 1 species
CAAUAGCGUAUAUUUAAGUUGUUGCAGUUAAAAAGCUCGUAGUUGGAUUUCGGUUGAGAGCGGCCGGUCCGCCGUUUGGUGUGCACUGGUUGGUUUUAACUUCCUGUAGAGGACGUGCUCUGGGUUUAACGACCUGGACUCGGAGUCUACGUGGUUACUUUGAAAAAAUUAGAGUGUUCAAAGCGGGCUUACGCUUGAAUAUUUCAGCAUGGAAUAACACUAUAGGACUCCUGUCCUAUUUCGUUGGUCUCGGGACGGGAGUAAUGAUUAAGAGGAACAGUUGGGGGCAUUCGUAUUUCAUUGUCAGAGGUGAAAUUCUUGGAUUUAUGAAAGACGAACUUCUGCGAANGNAUUUGCNAAGGAUGUUUNCAUUA